rnacentral:rRNA from 1 species
CUAUUAGUGGGGGACAACAUUCCGAAAGGAAUGCUAAUACCGCAUACGCCCUACGGGGGAAAGCAGGGGAUCUUCGGACCUUGCGCUAAUAGAUGAGCCUAAGUCAGAUUAGCUAGUUGGUGGGGUAAAGGCCUACCAAGGCGACGAUCUGUAGCGGGUCUGAGAGGAUGAUCCGCCACACUGGGACUGAGACACGGCCCAGACUCCUACGGGAGGCAGCAGUGGGGAAUAUUGGACAAUGGGCGAAAGCCUGAUCCAGCCAUGCCGCGUGUGUGAAGAAGGCCUUUUGGUUGUAAAGCACUUUAAGCGAGGAGGAGGCUACUUAGAUUAAUACUCUAGGAUAGUGGACGUUACUCGCAGAAUAAGCACCGGCUAACUCUGUGCCAGCAGCCGCGGUA